AACUAACGCUGGCGGCGUGCCUAACACAUGCAAGUCGUACGAGAAAGCCGGCUUCGGCUGGUGAGUAAAGUGGCGCACGGGUGAGUAACGCGUGGAUAAUCUGCCCUUAAGUGUGGAAUAACGUACCGAAAGGUGCGCUAAUACCGCAUAAUGCCUGGCAACACAAGUUGUCCGGCCAAAGAAGGCCUCUGUUUACAAGCUUUCGCUUCAGGAUGAGUCCGCGUACCAUUAGCUUGUUGGUGGGGUAAUGGCCUACCAAGGCUGCGAUGGUUAGCUGGUCUGAGAGGAUGAUCAGCCACACUGGAACUGAGACACGGUCCAGACUCCUACGGGAGGCAGCAGUGAGGAAUAUUGCGCAAUGGGGCAACCCUGACGCAGCAACGCCGCGUGAGUGAGGAAGGUUUUCGGACUGUAAAGCUCUGUCGAGCGGGAAGAAGUGUACCAUGGCUAAUAUCCAUGAUAUUUGACGUACG
rnacentral:rRNA from 1 species